UACGUAGGUGGCAAGCGUUGUCCGGAUUUAUUGGGCUUAAAGGGUGCGUAGGCGGCCUUGUAAGUCAGUGGUGAAAUACUCCAGCUCAACUGGAGGGGUGCCAAUGAUACCGCAGGGCUUGAGUACAGAUGAGGUAGGCGGAAUUGACGGUGUAGCGGUGAAAUGCAUAGAUAUCGUCAAGAACACCGAUAGCGAAGGCAGCUUACUGGGCUGUAACUGACGCUGAGGCACGAAAGUGUGGGGAUCAAACAGG
rnacentral:rRNA from 1 species